rnacentral:other from 1 species
UUACCUGAGAUGUUCGCCAAAGGGUUACGUCCCUGAGCCGAUAUUUACAUACUUAGAGUUGGCUUCUCAGCUGUCGGUGUGCAGGCUUAGUUUAACUAAGAAGCCUAAUGAUAGUUAUAGUUAACUCCCUUGAACCAUCGGGUUCAAGGACCGACCACCCAAAACGGCAUCUCGGGGCU